AAAGCAUAACACAUGAUGAGUAUUGAAUGUUAAGUAUUGCCUCAGCGGCGGACGGGUGAGUAACGCGUGGGUAACCUGCCCUGUACACUUGGAUAACACACCGAAAGGUGUGCUAAUACAAGAUGAUAUCAAAGGAAGGCAUCUUCUUUUGAUCAAAGCUUUUGCGGUACAGGAUGGGCCCGCGUCCCAUUAGCUAGUUGGUGGGGUAACGGCCUACCAAGGCUUAUAUUUGAGAGUUUGAUCCUGGCUCAGGAUGAACGCUGGCGGCGUGCCUAACACAUGCAAGUCGAGCGGAGGCAAUGCUUAACAUUGAGUAUUUAUCUAAAAAAGGUUAUCAUCUAGCCGC
rnacentral:rRNA from 1 species